GGGAAUGUGCCCCUAGUAACGGGCGAGUGAAGCGGCAACAGCUCAAAUUUGAAAGCUAGCCUUCGGGUUCGCAUUGUAAUUUGUAGAGGAUGCUUUGGGUAAAACGCCUGUCUAAGUUCCUUGGAACAGGACGUCAUAGAGGGUGAGAAUCCCGUAUGUGACUGGACAUGUUAACCUAUGUAAAGCUCCUUCGACGAGUCGAGUUGUUUGGGAAUGCAGCUCUAAAUGGGAGGUAAAUUUCUUCUAAAGCUAAAUAUUGGCGAGAGACCGAUAGCGCACAAGUAGAGUGAUCGAAAGAUGAAAAGCACUUUGGAAAGAGAGUUAAAAAGCACGUGAAAUUGUUGAAAGGGAAGCGCUUGCAAUCAGACUUGUUUAAACUGUUCGGCCGGUCUUCUGACCGGUUUACUCAGUUUGGACAGGCCAGCAUCAGUUUCGGCGGCCGGAUAAAGGCAUUGGGAAUGUGGCCUUCACUUCGGUGGAGGUGUUAUAGCCCAGUGUGUAAUACGGCCAGCCGGGACUGAGGUCCGCGCUUCGGCUAGGAUGCUGGCGUAA
rnacentral:rRNA from 1 species